GGUAAAUCAGCAGAGAGGGCUCCAUUUCCAGCCUAUGUGAGAGAGCCUGGCGUGUCUGGCUGCCAGGCCAAUCUGCGACCGGACAUUGGUCUGGUGAGUCCUGGGCCUGUGACCACAUCGGGGAAAACGGCCCCUCCUUUCUACCCUCCCUUCACCGGGGCCAACCCCAGAAGACGCCCCAUACCAGAACCUGCUCCCAUUGAUCCUCUACAGACAAAGAAAGUUCGUAAGGUCCCUCCUGGGCUGCCUUCAUCUGUGAGUGGAAGAUCAUUUCAUCUGCCUGCUAUACUUCUCAUAUAUAAAUAGAUCUCUCAGUGAGCAUAACCAAACACACACAUACAAACACACACACAAACACACACACUGUGCACACACAUACAAAUACACACACACAGACAAAGAGAGCUGUUGACAUCACUGUCGCACAAAUUUAGCUGGGAUUUCACUUGUUUUCCUUGACUCUUCAAAGGCGUCCUCUGCAGUGGCACUGGUGGUACCUGGUUGAUGUGUAAGGAGCCCAUAGCCCUGCC